GUAUAUUCAUGUCUGGAAGAGAGUAACCGUCUAUUCUAUGCUUCCACGCAGGCAGCCGCUAUUGCCUCAAAGGUUUCACACUGCCUACUAACGUGGUUGCAUUUUCUUCAUCUUUUGUUUUCCCCGAAGAUAUUGGGCCCUUUCGUAUACUUAAGCUUAGAUUAAUGAGCUUCACGCAUAGGCCCAUUACGUCGAAACCAUUGUUAUAAAACCUAGAUGAAUUUUAUACAACUACCUUUACGAUGACUGGCCAUAAUUUAUAAGGCUAAUUCGACUGGUGAAUUGUCACAUAUAUUAUCUUAGAUAAUAACCAUUGUAGAAGGCCAUAGUUCCGGUGACUUGAUUGAUGAUAUAUCAUCUUCAGCAUGC
rnacentral:lncRNA from 1 species